UGGGAUAACACUGACGUUCAUGCACGAAAGCGUGGGGAGCAANCAGGAUUAGAUACCCUGGUAGUCCACGCCUUAAACGAUGUCUACUAGUUGUCGGGACUUAAUUGUCUUGGUAACGCAGCUAACGCGUGAAGUAGACCGCCUGGGGAGUACGGUCGCAAGAUUAAAACUCAAAGGAAUUGACGGGGACCCGCACAAGCGGUGGAUGAUGUGGAUUAAUUCGAUGCAACGCGAAAAACCUUACCUACCCUUGACAUGUACGGAACCUCUGAGAGAUUAGAGGGUGCUCGAAAGAGAGCCGUAACACAGGUGCUGCAUGGCUGUCGUCAGCUCGUGUCGUGAGAUGUUGGGUUAAGUCCCGCAACGAGCGCAACCCUUGUCAUUAGUUGCUACGAAAGGGCACUCUAAUGAGACUGCCGGUGACAAACCGGAGGAAGGUGGGGAUGACGUCAAGUCCUCAUGGCCCUUAUGGGUAGGGCUUCACACGUCAUACAAUGGUACAUACAGAGGGCCGCCAACCCGCGAGGGGGAGCUAAUCCCAGAAAGUGUAUCGUAGUCCGGAUUGUAGUCUGCAACUCGACUACAUGAAGUUGGAAUCGCUAGUAAUCGCGGAUCAGCAUGUCGCGGUGAAUACGUUCCCGGGUCUUGUACACACCGCCCGUCACACCAUGGGAGCGGGUUUCACCAGAAGUAGGUAGCCUAACCGCAAGGAGGGCGCUUACCACCGGUGGGAUUCGUGACUGGGGUGAAGUCGUAACAAGGUAACC
rnacentral:rRNA from 1 species